UACGUAGGGGGCAAGCGUUGUCCGGAUUUAUUGGGCGUAAAGAGCGUGUAGGCGGCCAGACAGGUCUGCUGUGAAAACUCGAGGCUCAACCUCGAGACGCCGGUGGAAACCGUCUGGCUAGAGUCCGGAAGAGGAGAGUGGAAUUCCUGGUGUAGCGGUGAAAUGCGUAGAGAUCAGGAAGAACACCCGUGGCGAAGCGGCCCACUGGGCCGGUACUGACGCUGAGGCACGAAGGCGUGGGGGAGCGAACGGG
rnacentral:rRNA from 1 species